GGGGCCCUUUAUAGCUUGCUGUCGGUGCGAGUCUAGGAUUCGUGUUGAAGACCGUACCUUGACCUAUAAUGGUUUACUUUUAUAAAUUGUGACUUGGAUGGAGAGUUGUCUCAUUGGCACUUAUACAACAUCUUCCCAUAUCUAUAUAUGGAAUAUACGCCAAUUAGACAUCAAUCCAAUGACCAAAAUAAGAAUAAAAAAAUAAAUCUUCA
rnacentral:lncRNA from 1 species